GCCACUCCUAUGGGGAGGAGUCUAUCUUUCCGUCACAUCCCGUAAUCUUCCGGUCGCCGAUCCCUGUCUAUUCCCCUACAAUCUAUAAAUUGUAUGGGAAAGUUUUGGCACCCCAGAUGGGACCCUGCUUUUGAAUCUCGACAGAUCCGCGGGAUUGUGGGACCUCCAGCCGGCACCGAGGAAUUCUCGGGGAGAGCUUCCGAUCCCCGGACCGGAGAAUUCUGAGCAAGAUCCCCUGGAUUGAGGAUUCCUCCAGGGAGGAACAGGUUCCCGAAGAAGUGGAAAAUGCAGUAAUUCCUUUGGUUUGAGCGAGCGGAGCUCCGGAGCGAUCUAAAUUGGCAGAGCCGGUAAAAGUAACGUUAAAACCUGGAGUCAAGCCGGUAAGACAAAAACAAUACCCUAUUAAGUGGGAGGCUCGAAAAGGAUUAGAGAAGUUAAUUAUAAAAUUUUUUAGAAUAUGAGCUUUUAGUAGAACAUGACUCAGAAUGUAAUACUCCUAUAUUGCCAGUAAAGAAAUCUAGAGGCAAAGAAUAUUAACUAGUUCAAGAUUUAAGGGCUAUAAAUCAGAUAGUCCAAGAUAUACAUCCAGUAGUGGCUAAUCCAUACACUUUACUGACCUCUUUAAAAGAGGAGCAUAAAUGGUUUACUGUACUAGAUUUGAAGGAUGCCUUCUUUUGCAUACCUCUGGACAUAAAAAGUCAAAGCAUAUUUGCUUUUGAAUGGGAAAGCCCCACCACAGGAUGAAAGACACAACUAACAUGGACUGUACUUCCACAAAGAUUUAAAAAUAGUCCUACGAUAUUUGGGACUCAGCUGGCAAAAAUAAUUAGACAUAUAGAAAAAACAGAACCCAGGGAGAAGCAUAUUGUUACAGUAUGUGGAUGACAUUCUGAUAGCGGCAGAAAGUAAAGAAAAAUGUUUUGAAAUUUUUAAAUUUUCUGGGCCAAGGAAGAUACAGAGUUUCCAGAAACAAAACCCAAAUAGGAAAAGAAGCAGUGAUUUAUUUAGGAUUUGAAAUAUCUCAAAGACAAAGACAAUUAGAAAAUGAAAAGAAAUAAACUAUUUGUCAAAUUCCCGAACCUAGCAGCCCAAAGGAACUGAGAGCUUUUCUGAAAAUAAUUAAAUAGUGUCAGCUCUGGAUUCUGAACUAUAGACUGUAUGUAAAACCAUUAUAUGAGGCAUUGAAAGAAUCAAAGGAUAAAUAUUUAACCUGGACACCUGUCGUGGUUUAGCGGCAGCUCAGCCCCACACAGCCGCUCGCUCACUCCCCACCGGUAGAUGGGGGAGAGAAUCAGAAGGGUAACGCUCGUGGGUUGGGAUAAGAACAGUUUAGUAAUUAAAAUUAAAAGAAACAACAGUAGAAAUGCAAUGUAAAGGAGAACAACGAGAGGCGCAAAGCCCCGGGGGAGGGGGGGGAAGGGAGGGGAGAGGGGGAACGAACCGCCGGAACAAACCGCACGUGCCGCAGCCGCCCGCCGACCCGACGCCGCGCCGCCCCCGCGCUGCCACUGCCCCCCCUCAACAUACUGGUCAUGGUGUCACAUGGUAUGGAAUGAACCUGCCAUUGGCCAGUCGGGGUCAGCCGCCCCCACCAUGGCCCUGCCCCUCCCAGCCCCCACCCCCCCCGCCACGCGGCAGAGCGCGGGAAGCUGGAAAGGUAACCGACCCCCACAGUGAGGAGAAUUAACCCCUUCUCAGCCAAAACCAGCACAACACCCGAAUGCCAAACAGCAUUCAAAGAACUUAAGAGCCUUGAUGAUGGCCCCUGCAUUAGGCCUACCUGAUUUCACUAAACCUUUUGAGUUGUUUGUCCAUGAAAGACAAGGUUUAGCACUUGGAGUGUUGACACAAUGACUGGGAACCUGGAAGAGACCUGUAGACUACUUCUCCAAACAACUUGAUAAUGUGAGUAAAAGAUGGCCUAGGUGUUUACGGGCAGUAGCAACAACAGCGCUGCCGAUCCAGGAAGCCCCAAAGUUAACAAUGGGACAAAAGAUUACAGUAUAUGUCCCGCACAUGGUGGUGACUGUUUUAGAACAAAAGGGGGGGUCGUUGGCUAUCUCCUAGCAGAAUGCUGAAAUAUCAAGUUGUUUUGUUAGAACAAGAUGAUGUGGAAUUGAAGACUACUGCUAUAAUGAAUCCUACUAUGUUUUUAACAACAGAAAAUCUUACGGACAAUUUAGAACAUGAUCGCUUGCUAACUAUUGAACAAGUCUAUUCCAGCAGACUGGACCUGAGAGAUAAACCUCUGGAAAAUCCUGAUCUGGAAUUGUUUACAGAUGGAAGAAGCUUUGUGCAAGAAGGGAAGCAAAUGGCCGGAUAUGCUGUCGUUAUCACCGCCGAGGGAAAGGAGUCAGGGACACUGCCUGCAAACACCUCAGCACAGAAAGCAGUAUUGGUGGCAUUGAAACAGGCUCUGCAAAUGGCAGAAGGACAAAGGGCAAAUAUUUGGACUGAUUCCAAAUAUGCAUUUGGUGUGAUCCAUGCUCAUGGAGCUAUUUGGAAGGAAAGAGGACUGCUAUCAGCCCAAGAAUCAUCAAUAAAGCAUAAAGAAGAAAUUCUCCAACUUCUGGAAGAUGUACAGAAACCAAAAUAAGUGGCGGUAAAGCAUUGCAAUGCUCAUCAAUUCGGUCAGACGGCUGUAAACAUAAGUAAAUGAUUGACAUAUAAAGCUGCAAAGAGGACUGCAGAACAGGGUAUCCUUGCACUAGUACCAGUAAAACAGAUAAAAAUUCCAAAGUUGAAACCGAGAUAUAAUAAAUUGGAUGAGCAAUUAGCAGAACAAUUGGAAGCAUCACAAAAUACAGAAGGAUGGUGGGUAACGCCAGAAAAACAAGUAAUAAUAACCCCACAAGUUAUGACAGAACUUGCAAAAGAAAAGCAUGAGCAAACACUUUGGGGUGUAGAUGCUAUGGUUUUGAGUUUAAAAACAUCUGUAGUGUGUGUAGGCAUGACAAGAAUAGUUAAAUCCAUAGUAGCUAAGUGUCCAAUCUGUCCUAGAAAUAAUCCCCUGAACCAAAAGAAACCACCUUUAGGAGUAACAAAACAAAAAUUUCUCCCGGAGAUUAUUAGCAAAUUAAGUUCUCUGAGUUACCCAGACAAAAUAGAUAUAGCAGUAUUUGUUAGUGUUGAUUGACAAAUUUUUUAGAUGGCCAGAAGCUUUCUCGUGCUGCACCAACAAAGCUAGAGAAGCAGUUAAAAUACUGCUGAAAGAAAUAAUACCAAGAUUUAGAGUGCCAACGGGAAUGUCCUCUGAUAGAGGACCACAUUUUUUUGCAGAUGUAGUUCAACAAAUUAAUAAAAUUUGGGGUAUAAAAUGGGACCUGCAUACGCCCUGGAGACCACAAUCAAAUGAAAAAUUUGAGAAGAUGAACCAAACACUACACUGAUAUAGUGCAAUAUUAUUGAUCUAAGAUGGAAGUAUUGAAAAAAUGAUUAUUUCAAAACUUCCAAAGGGGGGAAAUGUAACCAAAGUGAUGAAAUUAAUCAACCAGAGAUGUUGUUAUAUUAUGGGAACAUGGAGUGUACAAAUCAGUGUAUCUGUUGAUCUGUAUUUUAGUCCCUCAGUAAUCAUUAAUGUGAACGAAACAAUAGACAAUGUGCUUCUGUCAGAAAAAGAUGACAAAAUGUGGUUUCGUGUGGUGGACUGAGAAAACUAGCCAGGACUGCCAAGAUUAAGAGCCAAGAAGGUAAAAGGUAAUUCCGGCAGGGGGAGAUCGGACCAGUGACCCAAGUAAUACCACCUACUCAAAAGAGAACAAUGGAAGAGAACAACUGAGCCUGCGCAGUAAUUUACAUAUGGAACGAGCAAGUUUGAACCAAUCAGUAGAAAGGACAAUAAUGAAUAUGUAUGAAUAUGUAAAUUUUUGAUCUAUAAAUUGUAUGGGAAAGGUGUGUAAGGUAUGCACGUUAGGAGGCGCGAUCCCCUGUGCAUCCGGCGCUGUGAAUAAAGAAUGCCUGCUCUUUAAUACUAAAUUGGUGCUAAAGAGUUGCUUCUGAUUUUACUGCAUUUUUUGGUAACAAAAACUUAGCCAAGAUAAUGAGGUAGCUGAAACAAGAACAGCCUUUAGGGGAGUCAGAGAGGCCUCAAGAUUCGAAGUACCUGAUCAAAGUCACAAUGACAUUUGGCCUUUAGAAAAGCAGAUGUACAGGAGCCAUAAAGAUAAGGAACUACAGAGCAAACACUAAACCAAGAACAGACUAUCCCUCAAGGACAGUACAUACGUAGUCUCAGAACUGAGUUUGCUCAAAAACAAGGGUUAACUAGCGGACACAGGGAGGAAGAGUAUGUCCUUCAUCCAGAGACCCCUGACAACCACCCGGAGACACCAACAGGCAUGCGCAAAUGACGUCUGCAUAUAAUGAAUAUGUAUAUCUUUUAUCAGAAAGCUAAUGAAUAUGUAUAUGAAGCAUGUACUUAACCGGCACAAUGAGAUCUGAUGGUAUGCACGUUAGGAAGAGCAAUCCCCCAUGCAUCCGGCGCCGCAAAUAAAGAAUGCCUGCCUUUUAACACUA